CACCAGAAGUAGGUAGUCUAACCGUAAGGAGGACGCUUACCACGGUGUGGCCGAUGACUGGGGUGAAGUCGUAACAAGGUAGCCGUAGGGGAACCUGCGGCUGGAUCACCUCCUUAA
rnacentral:rRNA from 1 species